GGCAUCUGAAUGCAAAAUCACUCAUCCCAAAGGUAAAACGGUCCUGGAAGGAGACUUCAAAAUUUCACGGGGAUUCGUCUUACAAAUUUCAGCUCAUUUCCUUGAAGCGAAUUUGCAGCAAGAAUGGACAAAGAGGCAGGCCAUAAGACUGACGGAGGAUCUAAGAAUUUGAUGGAUAAAGAGGCAGCUUCUCGCAUCCAGAGUGCUGAGGCAAAACAACAUGGCGGCGGGGUGGAGAAAGGAAGCUUCGCUGCGCGUGCUCAGUCCACUGCUGACAAGCGUGAAAACCAGAAAGACUAGACAAGCAUGAAGACUAGAACAACUAGAACUUAAAAGUAGAUCGUGAAAAAGAAAAAUACGAACACCUUAAAAGUAAAAAUUUGUAAUUCGGCUAAUUUGGCACAACUGUCUAGCCGUAGAAUCGUUAAAUGUAUGUAGGAUUGUUCUUUGAUUAAAAGAUUACAAAUACAA